GUUGACCCCUUGUGUCUGUACUUCUAAUGGGCCCACAAAAUUUUUAUCAUGAUCAUUCGGUUCUCCAGAUGUGCAUUGGUCAUCAAGAUUUUCUCCCUACUUCCUACCUCAUUGUGUGUCUGAUGACAGAUGACAGAUGCUAAGAUAUACCCUGUAUAGAAAAACUUUAAAGAAUAUACAUAAUGGCUAUGCUAAGACAAAAGUUUACAGGAAACCAACUUAUGAACAGGUGUUUAUACUGAACUGGUCCCAUGACUUAGUCAGUUAUAAAAAAGCUGCAUUUAGAAGUUUCUAUAGGAGAUCCCCAAUGUAUUGUAUAGAUGAAAAAGAUUUAAAAUGAGAACUAAGUCAUUAUUGAGAAGAUAGGAUUGGAACAUGGAUAUAGAAUAUCAUUCUUACAGCAAAUGCUGGAAUCAGUAAAGAAGAAUCUAUGCAAUACAUGAAAGAGAUGAAUCAUUAACAUAACAAGGAGAAUAUUUGCUGAUCUCCUAUAAUCUGAAAAAGUUCAAUUUGGUAAGGAAAGUAGCCAAGAAGCAAAAGUAAAAGUUAGCUGUACACAGAGGACUGACACUAUUUAAUGUCAUAAGAAAUGAGAAAGAUUUCUUAACCCGUUAGGACAUGCACUAUGGUAAAAAUCACCCAUGCUUAUGUAAAAUGUUGCUUUUCUUGGAAUAUUUACA
rnacentral:lncRNA from 1 species